ACCGAUAGUGAACCAGUACCGUGAGGGAAAGGUGAAAAGUACCCCGGGGAGGGGGAGUGAAAUAGUACCUGAAACCGUUGGCAUACAAUCAGUCAAAGCGUCGUCAUGACUUCGGUCAUGGCCGUGAUGGCGUGCCUUUUGAAGAAUGAGCCAGCGAGUUACGGUACGUGGCAAGGUUAACCAGUGAUGGGAAGCCGGAGCGAAAGCGAGUCUGAAUAGGGCGUUUAGUCGCGUGCUGUAGACCCCGAAGCCGAGUGAUCUAUCCAUGGGCAGGUUGAAGCGAGGGUAAGACCUCGUGGAGGACCGAACCCACCUAGGUUAAAAACUGGGGGGAUGACCUGUGGAUAGGGGUGAAAGGCCAAUCAAACUCGGUGAUAGCUGGUUCUCCCCGAAAUGCAUUUAGGUGCAGCGUCGUUUGUUCAGUCAUGGGGGUAGAGCACUGGAUGGGUUAGGGGGCCUACAAGCUUACCGACCCCAACCAAACUCCGAAUACCAUGACUCCAGAGAACGGCAGUGAGACUGCGGGGGAUGAGCUUCGCAGUCGAAAGGGG
rnacentral:rRNA from 1 species